rnacentral:piRNA from 1 species
UGAAAGAUUGAGCCAGUCUCAGACACCUAUC